ensembl:lncRNA
CUGGAAUGUGCUGCGGUGCUGAACCGCUGAGGCCAUUAUACCACCUACUGCCCACAGAAUCCACUGAGUGUGCUGCCGGGCCACUAUAAAGACUGUGGAGGAGGGAAUGUGGAGGCGCUGACUAACAAGAUGGAUGAGUUGUCUUCAUUGGCUAGGACAUAGGCUUAUGGGACUCUCUGAGAUGGGGCUUUAGCCUGAGCGUCGGCACCUGAGGCCAGCAGGAGCUUUCCAUAGUUGCCAACACGCCCCGGUUCUGACCAGUCGGCCUCCUCACUCCUCACCGUAUUUUGUUGGAUAAACCACUAUUUGUCACCACCAUUCUGAGUCCUGGUCCGCUUUUGGGUUUCGUCCCGAAUCCUGACACCACCAAACACAACAUAGCACCAGGAGUUGGUUGAUGAUUAGCUGGAAGAUCGACAUCAAUUUGUGCGUUGUCUGAGACCAUCCAAGUUCUCGAUCUCAUUAAUUUACCUGAAUUGUCCUUUGUCUUUUAUUGGCGAUCGCCACUGAGCUAAAAACUGAAAUGACAACUAAUGGUUGCGCAAAAACUGUUUAUUUUGAAUCCGCACUGAUAUGGAACACUCGGGUUAAUGUAACUAGGCACAAUACAUUAUGGCUCAAUAUAUUUGUUUGCAAUAUUCCUUCAAAGUAAAUCUGUUAUCAAUUUCUGGAAUGGACAUUCUCAAAACCCUUGAGUGAUUACAAUAUUGUUCAAAAAAAAAUGUCUGUAUAUUUCUGGUGUUAAAACACAUGUUAUUCAAAUGUCCAUCAUCAGCAAGAGCAGAAUCCUUUCGCUUUUCAUCAAUUUACCAUUUGGUAAAAUUACCGGCAGGGACGUAUUUACAUGAUUGCCUAUUCUACCA